rnacentral:miRNA from 1 species
GGGGGGGGAGGGCGGGUG